CAUGCAAGUCGAGCGGUAAGGCCCUUCGGGGUACACGAGCGGCGAACGGGUGAGUAACACGUGGGUGAUCUGCCCUGCACUUCGGGAUAAGCCUGGGAAACUGGGUCUAAUACCGGAUAUGACCUUCGGCUGCAUGGCCGUUGGUGGAAAGGUUUACUGGUGCAGGAUGGGCCCGCGGCCUAUCAGCUUGUUGGUGGGGUAAUGGCCUACCAAGGCGACGACGGGUAGCCGACCUGAGAGGGUGACCGGCCACACUGGGACUGAGACACGGCCCAGACUCCUACGGGAGGCAGCAGUGGGGAAUAUUGCACAAUGGGCGAAAGCCUGAUGCAGCGACGCCGCGUGAGGGAUGACGGCCUUCGGGUUGUAAACCUCUUUCAGCAGGGACGAAGCGAAAGUGACGGUACCUGCAGAAGAAGCACCGGCCAACUACGUGCCAGCAGCCGCGGUAAUACGUAGGGUGCAAGCGUUGUCCGGAAUUACUGGGCGUAAAGAGCUCGUAGGCGGUUUGUCGCGUCGUCUGUGAAAACUCGAGGCUCAACCUCGAGCUUGCAGGCGAUACGGGCAGACUUGAGUACUGCAGGGGAGACUGGAAUUCCUGGUGUAGCGGUGA
rnacentral:rRNA from 1 species